rnacentral:rRNA from 1 species
ACUCAUGCAAGUCCCAUGCGAGCUUAACGUNCGGGCGUUGAGUAGCAUGGCAGACGGGUGAGGAGCGCGUAUCUGACUGGACUCAGGCUGNUUGAUAGGUGCGUCGACGGNGGUUGAAUACCGCAUGUGCUCGGUGCUGUGAGGGCAUCGAGGAAAGUUGGCCUCUGCGGGCACGCUGAUGGCCUGAGACAGGCAUGCGUCCUAUUAGCUAGCUGGUGGGGUAAGGGCCUACCAGGGCGACGAUGGGUAGCUGGUCUGAGAGGAUGAUCAGCCACACUGGGACUGCGAGAGGGCCCAGACUCCUACGGGAGGCAGCAGUGGGGAAUUUUGCGCAAUGGGCGCAAGCCUGACGCAGCAACGCCGCGUGCAUGACGACGCCUUUCGAGGUGUAAAGUGCUGUCGAGCGGGACGAAAGGGCGAGGGUGAACAGCUUUCGCGCAUGACGGUACCGGUGGAGGAAGCGCCGGAUAACUCCGUGCCAGCAGCCGCGGUAAGACGGAGGGGGCGAGCGU